UACGAAGGGGGCGAGCGUUGUUCGGAUUUACUGGGCGUAAAGGGCGCGCAGGCGGCUCAUUUUGUCAGGCGUGAAAGCCCCGGGCUUAACCUGGGAACUGCGUUUGAUACGGAUGGGCUAGAGUUCGGGAGAGGAGAGUGGAAUUCCCGAGUGUAGAGGUAGAAAUUCGAUAGGAUAUUGGGAAGAACACCGGUGGCGAAGGCGGCUCUCUGGACCGAUACGUGACGCUCAGGCACGAAAGCGGUGGGGGAGCAAGCAGG
rnacentral:rRNA from 1 species